CACGUGGGGAACCUGCCCCAUAGUCUGGGAUACCACUUGGAAACAGGUGCUAAUACCGUAUAAGAAAGCGGAUCGCAUGAUCAGCUUUUAAAAGGCGGCGUAAGCUGUCGCUAUGGGAUGGCCCCGCGGUGCAUUAGCUAGUUGGUAAGGUAAAGGCUUACCAAGGCGAUGAUGCAUAGCCGAGUUGAGAGACUGAUCGGCCACAUUGGGACUGAGACACGGCCCAAACUCCUACGGGAGGCAGCAGCC
rnacentral:rRNA from 1 species